GGCGGUUGUUCAGCUGAACGCCGUGGGGGACGUGUAACUUGUCUCUUUUUCUCGGAGUUCUCCAAUGGCUCGCUGUUGGCUUCUGUUGCUCUGUCAGCUGUCGUUAGAAGUACUGAAAGCUGGUGUAUCAAUAAACUAAAUAAUGCACAUAUCUCUCUCGUAAAUCCAUUUUCUGCAUCACACCUGUUUCCUGCUGAUGACUAAUACCUAAAGAGACAUUGGAUGGUUUUGCGCUGAAAAUUUGGCCUGGUAUUCAGUGACUCAGUUUCUGGACAUUGGUCUUCAGAGACUUACUUAGUUCCAAACAGGCUGUGCAGAAGGUACACAAUAAUUCUUGAACAAACAACUAUUUAUAAUUUGACUGAGAGGUGAGUUUUUUUGCCAGUGGUCUGUGUUGGGAUGGUGCUGUAUUUAGUUCAGAACUUCUAACUUGUUUACUGUCUUAAUGCAGGUACGUGUCCUACACUGUAUGUCACCACCUCAACAAAUUUUUUGAUGAUGCCAUAAAACCGGCUUAAUUCUUUUAAGCCAAACUAAAAACACACUUUGCAAGUAAGCAACUAGUGAACACUCAGCAGAUAUAAUCUGACAGUGCACAGCACCUCAGAUGCACAAGCAUACUUGGCUUCCAUUUUUUUUAGAGUGUAAUUGUUAUGGAGGUCCCAAAAGACUGUUUUGUAACAGUUCUUUCUAUAGCUCUUGCCACUAAGCUUGUUUGGAAACAGUAUGGAAUCUGAUCUUGUUGGCAUGAGAAUUGUGCUGGCAAUUUGUUGAGAUGACUUUAUGCUACUAUUUUGGAACUCAACCAUUUAUAGCAAACAAUGCAAUCUCAUCCUAUGCGAACAAGUAUAAUGCCAUACCAUCAUCCCCUGUGCAACCUUAUGUAUAUGUAAGCAAAAGGUGAGUGUGUUCAUAAGAGUUUUUACAGAUUAAGCUUCCUAGGAGAAAAAGGAAAUAAAAAAUGCAUAUUCUGAGAGUUAAUAUCCAAUAUUAUGACCUUAAUCUUAAGACAAUUUAUAAAUCACAGUUGCUAUCAUAUGGCUUCAUGUGGUUUAAGAAAUGCUACUGUCAAGGUUUAACAAAACCAGGACACUCACAAAACAAACUAUCAAAAUAUUUUAGUGCAAUGAUCGCUGUGAAUUUCAGUUUUAACACUUAAGUUCCACACUGUCAGCAGUUUAUUUUUGAAUUUUUUGAAUUGAAUGUCAGUGUUUAUUUUUGAAUUUUAAGCUUGCACAAGGAUUGUAGAGUGACCUGCAGAUAGCUUAUGAUGUAAAACUGUUAGGGAUGUCUAACUGCAAAGGAAACAUGAGUUCUUGUUCUUCUUCAAUCAGAGUUCUUGGCAUGACUGUCUAGAUGUAUCAUGGCAGGUAGGCCUGUUAAGAGGGGGGAGGGGAGAAAGGAGUGACUUGCCCUCAUCACCUUUUCCUGUCUAGUUGGUCUCUUCACUUACUUUACACUUGCAAGUUUCAUGUCGAAAUCUUCAGUUUGCAUUUUCUUCUUCCUGCCACCCCCUUUCCUUAUUUUUAACUCCUUCACCUCAGCAUGAAUGUGUUUUAGUCCCAACAUCCUUGACCUCUCCUAUACUUUGUCACUUGAAUGACUGACUGACUUUCACAUCUGAACUCAUUACUCAUGGUAAGAGGAGUUCUGUCACAUACCUCUUCCCAUAUGACUUCUAGUCUGUGUAUGGCCAUUAAACCACCAAUAUAAUGACUAUUUGUCAAAUGUGAAGUACUGGUACCCUAUCUUUUUCAUGCUGUCAGCUGUCUUCUGUAAUCCAGAGCAUGAAGCUGAACCAUCUUCAUGAGAUUUUACUCCCUUUAGUGAUUUAAGGAUUUUCUUCUGUCCUGGAAGUUUCUUCAGGCUCUUAAUCUGUCACUUUCCCCUCUACAUCUUUCUUUGUGACGUUGUACAGAUCUGAUCAAUUUAAGAACUUUAUCAGGUAAAGAUCAUGCUGUUUCUUUCUCUUGUUUGUCCAUAUCAUUCCUAAAACAGAGACAAAACUUUAUCUAGCUUCUUAUUUCACACCUCUUUAGUGUAGUAUUAUUUGGCUUUGCUGCAAGGCCUAAAAGGCCUUGAGCAUAUAGAAAAGCAGUUUAUAGCUUCUGGAACAGUAAACAGAUGCAAAAAUGGAAAACAUUAAAGGUGUAGAAGACCAAGUAUCAUCCAUCAAGCUAUCUUCUAGAUGCACUAUGAUGACAGCUUCUGCAGUCCACUCACUGAACUCUGGAUGGACACAACCGUGCUUUUUUUGCUUGCUUACUUCAGACUUAUGACAAACCUUUUGUCAGGUUCGCAAAACAAAGUUAUUCAGGCUCUUCUUUCCUAGUCACAUAUGAAAAAAACUUGACAUUGUUUACCGUGCUGACAUCUUGAUCUUUGAUGCUGAGCAGUACUGUCGCAUUAUCUUGUAUUGUUUUUGUUAAUGAAGAUGUUUUAGACAGAUGUGGCUACUUUUUGUUUCAUUUUCUUUUUGUUUGUAGUUUGUUUUUUAAACUUGGCUUUAUAAAAAUUGUGCAAUUAUGCAGCUCAACUUCUUUCCUUUCCCACAGCUAUUGUUUGUCACAAUGACUGUGAGUGUGCUGACAAAUUUGAACUACAUCUGACAAACAAAGCAAUUUUAUAGGUGGAACCUUCUCUUGGAGGAUUAAUAAUAACCCUUUAUAGCUACAGCCCUGUUUCUGGUGUAUCAUGCUCCUGAGCUCACCGUUCAAUAUGUAUGACUUCAACAGCUACACACUGCAAAAAAUAAAAUCAGCACAAAAUGAUCCUGCUUCAAAAGCCUCAUUCCCCCUUCACAAGUUCUGGGUUUACUCAAAGGGAGAUUUUCUUUAACCCUUGAAUAAAAAGAGUGUGUUGGUGUUUUUUUUCUUUGCUUUGUUGGGGUAUUUUGUUUGUUUUCUUUUCAUUCUGAAGUUUCCCAAAUCGACUUUUUAUUGGCUGUUUGAGAGCUUAAAAAAUUAAACAGACUAUAGUCUACAUUGCAUGCAAUAAAAAAAUAACAUGGUUUACAUAAAAAUAUUUCAGGCAGAAAAGAUAAAGUGGGUCUUGGAAGUGAGGCAUAAAUGGCAGUGCUGGGAGAUGUAGAUGAGAUUUCUUCCAGUGAAUGCUGUUGAGGAUCAAAUAUUGUUAAUGAGUCUGAAGGCCAAACAGGUUAUUCUGAAUGCAGCAGAUUUAAGGGUGAAGGAAUAAAGAAAUGGAAAUAAUUCUAUUGCCAAGAAGCUGAGCACAUCAGUUUUACAAUACAGCUAUUUGAGAGAGAGGUAUAUUGCUGUGCUCCUUCAUUGAUGUUUUUGCCCCUUUGGUCUCUGAGUUUACUAUAACUCUUUGAAAUGCUGAUUAACAUGGAGCUCUGACAAAAUGAAGCAGAACUAGAAGUAGUUUUUACUGAUUGGAAUUAUGCCAUAUAUUAUCUUUACAAUUCCAGCGCUUCUCUUUUUUUAUAUCUUUUUGUUUGUUUCUUUCUUUCUUUCAAUUUAUCCUUAGCCAGUGAAUGAAGGUGCUGGUUGGAGGACAGAGCUGCUUUAAGUCUGUUCUACCAGCUCUUAAGAGUGUGAACAACUUUGUAUUUACUUAGAUUUAUAAGAUCCGCAGUUGUGGGGGGUCUGCCUUUAUUGGUUUCUUUAAAAGACCUUUUUAAGAGUCAACAACUGUGACUUGAAACUUCUCUUUAACACAUGCUGUAGGUACAGGCUGCUACAUUCGCUGUUUUGUAUGAUAACAUCAAUUGAUUUAAUUGCAGCCAGGAUCUGGUUCAGUGUGUCUAGUCAGCAGUGCAAAGCUGUGUAUCAGAUUCUGGUUUUAUAUUUGAUUAUUUGGAAUUUUUGCUUAAAAACUUGCUUGAAGAUAAAAUCUUAAAUAUAAAAUUGCUAGUGGUUAAGCCUCAAGCCUGUGUAGGAGGGUUUGAUUAACUUUCGUUUCUUAGUGAGCAGUUAUUCAGUGAAUCCCUGAAGUGAGGCUCUUCUUGGAAGAAGAAGGAAGGCAUACAGAAAUACAAAUGAACUUAUUUCACCUAAUCCUCUGGAAGUUCACUGAAAAAGUUGGUAAUUUUGGACAUUACUAACAUUGGACAUUACUUCAUGCCCACCGAUUUGCAUGGUGUAGUAGAAGAGUUUGUAAUUUUUACAUAUACUGCAGAUUGGGUAGUGGUAUCAUACUCAGGUUAAAAGGGAUUUGUAGAUAGAUCACCAGCAAAAAUAAGCUAAUCUAGCAAGAAAAAAAUACAACCUAAUUAUAGUACUAGAACUUUGCCAAGUUUUCCAUCUUUUCAUACUGUCUUUGGAAGGACAAGGUGAGCAAGGUUGUUUAAAUUAAUGCAUAUUUAAACAUAACUUUUGACUGGCGAAUCUCACCCAAUGCCUGGCAAAAGAAUUUGAAUUGUGGAACAUCUCCAUGUUGUACUUAGUGCUUAUGGCUGUUCCCAUUCAGCUAUAGCAGCCACCGAGGGGUUUAAGUGCCCAGGAAGUACAGAUGAUUAUGUGCUUACAUUAUUAGCUGCUGCUUCACUGAGAGUCUGCAAAACAUUGCUGAUACCUUACCUAGCAGCAUCAGUGUGAAAUACUCGAGUACUCAAGUCUCAUGUAUGAAUUGUCACAGCAUUGUUGAAGAUACUUCAGUUCAGGCUUCCCGUUAGACUGCCCGUGUACAGAUGAGACUUUUCCCAGCCCUUAUUUCAAAGAAUAUACAUUAUCAUUUAAUUAUGUUUCUUUCUUGAUUACUUUCUUUCAAGGGCAGAGAAGAUUUUGGGUUUGAAGUUGCUUUUUAAAGUCUGAUUGCUUACAAUUUGUAAUGAAAAGACAUGAAGACUAAACCCCUUCUGCAUAGAGCUCUACAGUUUAAGUGACAUAAGCUUUUAGCAAAAAGAUUACAAACUUUUUGAUGAAAUUAGCAGAACAGCAUGAUUUUCAUAGAAUAGCCUGCACUAAGAUCAUCUGGUUCAACCUUUCAUGGGAAAUGGAGACUGGAUGAAAUCAUUGAGCAUCAUUUCCAAUUGUGUCUUGAAAACCUCCAUCGAUGCAGACUCCACUAUGUCCCUAGGGAGAUUGUUCUAGUAAUCCAUUGUCCUCACUGUGAAAAACGUAUUUAUUUUAUCAACAUGAAACCUCUCCUGGUGCAACUUGUUUGUUAUUGUUUUUUGGGGUUUUUUUUGUUGUUUUUUUUUUUUUUUUUGCAUUUGUUUUGUUUCAUUUUUGGGGGUUUUUUUCUGUUGUUUUGGUUUUGUUUGUUUGGUUGGUUUGUUGUUUGUUUGUUUGUUGUUGUUGUUCUGUGAAUGCAAACCUUCUGUACUGGAGAUAUAUAGGAAAGUGAUGACUUUAUAAGCUGUGAUGACUCAGGAAAAGCUUGACCAAAUAUUGCUCUAAAAUAACUGCAACAAAAGUGGAUUUUUGCAGGCUUGUCAGAACGCUAUUACAUUAUUUACAAUGCCAAAAAAACUGUUAAUUGCAGCUGUUAAAAGCAGGUAAAGAAGGAGGCAAGAGAAACUUGAAUUUUUGCUGAAGUGUGAGGGUGUCCGUCAACACAGCAAAUCUGAAGAGCAGGUUUUGGCUGAUCAGUUUACUGAAUGCUUAAGGCAGGGGAAAAACCCCAAAGAAACAAAACAAACAAAAAAAACACACAAGAAAAACAAACAAACAAAAAACCACCAAACAAACAAAAAAACACAUAA